AAACACGAUACCGAAGCUACGGGUAGAUCUGUACGUUAGAGGAGCGUUCCUAGGGCGGUGAAGCUAAACCGUGAGGAUUAGUGGAGCGUUAGGAAGUGAGAAUGCCGGUAUGAGUAACGAUUCGUGGUGAGAAUCCACGACGCCUAUUGGGAAAGGUUUCCUGGGGAAGGUGCGUCCACCCAGGGUUAGUCAGGACCUAAGGAGAGGCUGAAAAGCGUAUUCGAUGGAUAACAGGUUAAUAUUCCUGUA
rnacentral:rRNA from 1 species